GGAGCUGGGCUGCAGUUGCUCUCUGUUCCAGAGCCAGCAGGAGGAAUAAGGCCCUACUAUCUUCCACCCUGUCCCUUCCGCUGCCCUCCCCUCUUCUUGGGGGUGGCAGCAGGUGUGAAGGAAAGAACUUUGGGAACAGCAAGCCAGCGAUCGAUGCAUUCCAAAACAGAGUUUCCAUGAGAAUGCAGCCUCCUGAGGCAGAUGUUUCCUGGGGAAUUUGCUUGGUGUUUGACGUGAAAAAAAUUGGAGUCUCACAGAAGCUCUCUGUGCACAGAUCUUCUAAUGAACAAGGCAUGGCCAGGAGCCCCGGUCGAUUGGAAGGCCACUGCUUCAGAUACCAGCACACAGUGAAGUUUGCCAGGCGCAACAUCAAACAAUUGCUGUUAGGAUCAUAACAAUAUUCUAAUAUUGUUAGGAUCUAGGGUGGAACAUUUUUAAGUGGUAUAAAGCAGGCUGCCCUGCCAUCUUGUGGCUAACACAGAGAAGAAUUUCCUGUUCAAAAUGGAUACAAACCUGAUCUUUAUAGUUUGAGUGUCCAUAUUUCAAAUGAAAUGUUCCCAAGAAUCAGAAGAGAGUGGCAGAGGCCUUCCACUUGGCCCAAUUCAACCACCCCCAUGGUGCUCAUCAGACACUUACCUGGAACUCGCAGUAAAAAUUCAUGAGACACAUUCUGUUCAUCAGAUGUACUGAUUCACAUAUUUCCAGUGUAUAUAGUUCAACAGCUUUUGACAAAUGCAAACAAAAAUGUGACCACCACUACAAAUAACAGUUUCCUUCACCUCAAAAAUUCCCCUCAUGCCUUUGGCCAUAAACUCUCACUCCCUGUGACAACACCCCUAACUUCUGGCACAUUUUGUUUCCUGUAUGACUGCUCUAGAAUUUUCUAUAAGUUGAAUCAUACAAUAUUUU
rnacentral:lncRNA from 1 species